UACGUAGGGUGCGAGCGUUAAUCGGAAUUACUGGGCGUAAAGCGUGCGCAGGCGGUUUUGUAAGCCAGAUGUGAAAUCCCCGGGCUUAACCUGGGAAUGGCAUUUGGGACUGCAAGGCUCGAGUGCGGCAGAGGAGACUGGAAUUCCUGGUGUAGCAGUGAAAUGCGUAGAUAUCAGGAGGAACACCGGUGGCGAAGGCGGGUCUCUGGGCCGAAAUUGACGCUGAGGAGCGAAAGCGUGGGGAGCAAACAGG
rnacentral:rRNA from 1 species